CAAGAAUACUCAUCGGGAAGUACUGGAAGACACAAGAAUUGCCUACCUGAGAAGAAUGGCAGAUGAAAGUGAUGGACUACAUGGAACUGGCUGAGAUGACCGGCAGAAUUCGAGACCAGGGAGAAGGGUCGAUGGAAGAAGAUUGGAAAAAAUUCAAAAUAUACCUUCAAAAAUACUGCAAUAUAAAAGAAUGUUAGAAAGAGGUUGGAAAAAGAAUAUUAGGUCGUUCUGGUAGAUAUGAUAUAAUGGACUAAGCAAAAAUGAGUUGAUGAAAUUGAUGAAAUAGAGGAGGUUUAAUUACAUUAUUUUAAUUUUAAAAUACGUAAAUGAAAAUAAGGUUAGAAGGAUUUGCUGGAAACACGAUCUGAACUAGAAUACAAAAUUGGGAGGUGAGAGGAGGUCAUGGAAAUAAGUAAAGGGAAAAGGCUAAGUAAAGGUUUAAUCUGUUUUUGUUUUAUUUUAACUUAAUGUAUUUUUAUAUUUUUUGUUAAGUCUUCUUUUUUAUUCUAUUUUAUUGUUCUUUUUUACUUGUUCAUUCUACGCUUUGUUACGGUUAAAGUUUUCUUUGUAUUUUGUAUGGUUUUUCUUUUUCUUUUUUGUAACUUUAAAUUUGGAAUAAAUAUCAUUUAAAAAAACAAAAACAAAAUAUUAAGUUGCAACAACUAAGUUAAGGAGCUGAAGUGAAAUAACUGGAAAUAAGCUCAGCAUUGGCCAUCCUCUCUAGACACCUGUAACAUCGAAGAGGAAUAACUUUAAAAAAGCAACAGAAGUUUAAAAAAGCUGUGCAUUUACUACUUUGUUUACAAGCAUGUAACACACACUAAAUUUAGUACAAUUUAUUAAUAGGUUUACUGUUUCCUGAAAGAACAUUAUCUAUCUCCUGACACGUCCUUUGCUUUUUUCAACUUUGUUCUGUAAAAUAAAUCUUUCUUGUUUGUUCAACUUC